UACAUUUGUAUGACGUUUUAACUCAUACAUUUGAAUCAAAGAAUAUGAUCCAAUAUUUGAAUGUUUGCUAAUUUAUUGGACUUUACAAGUUUAUAUUGUGAUUUAUUAUUUAUCUUAUAAAUUACUUUGUCUAGAGUUAGCAAGUAUAGGAGGAUAUUGUGUCAGAACUUUUAUAUUAUAGUGACAUUAACUUCCGGAAAAACACUUUAAAAUGCAUAAUAGCGCAAUAUGCAGUCCAUGUCAACCAAAAACCGAUAUAAAUGUAGGACAAAGGCAAUUGCAAGGCGGAAUGGCUAGCUCUGUAUAGCUGGAAGUGGAUAAUUUUGGAGUAAUUCAAUCAAAAUCAGGAGAAAAAAGUCAAGUUAAACGAUUUACUUGGACAAAUAGUAAGAAAGUUGCAGUUCAGCUUAUCAACCAUGGCGGUACUAUUACUUCAAUAAAAGUACCAGAUAGGAAUGGAAAAGUUGAGGAUAUAACUACAGGAUAUGAUUCCGUCGAAGGAUACCAGGCACGACCACCUCACCCCUACCCCUACUUUGGAG